UACAGAGGGUGCGAGCGUUGUCCGGAAUCACUGGGCGUAAAGGGCGCGUAGGUGGCGCCGCAAGUCCAUGGUGAAAGCUCGAUGCUCAACAUCGAGUCGGCCACGGAGACUGCGGGGCUCGAGCACUGUAGGGGCAGAUGGAAUUCCGGGUGUAGCGGUGGAAUGCGUAGAGAUCCGGAAGAACACCGGUGGCGAAGGCGGCGACCUGGUCCGUGACUGACGCUGAGGCGCGAAAGCGUGGGGAGCAAACAGG
rnacentral:rRNA from 1 species